rnacentral:rRNA from 1 species
AGUGAACGCUGGCGGUAGGCCUAACACAUGCAAGUCGAACGGCAGCACAGAGGAGCUUGCUCCUUGGGUGGCGAGUGGCGGACGGGUGAGGAAUACAUCGGAAUCUACUCUGUCGUGGGGGAUAACGUAGGGAAACUUACGCUAAUACCGCAUACGACCUACGGGUGAAAGCAGGGGAUCUUCGGACCUUGCGCGAUUGAAUGAGCCGAUGUCGGAUUAGCUAGUUGGCGGGGUAAAGGCCCACCAAGGCGACGAUCCGUAGCUGGUCUGAGAGGAUGAGCAGCCACACUGGAACUGAGACACGGUCCAGACUCCUACGGGAGGCAGCAGUGGGGAAUAUUGGACAAUGGGCGCAAGCCUGAUCCAGCCAUACCGCGUGGGUGAAGAAGGCCUUCGGGUUGUAAAGCCCUUUUGUUGGGAAAGAAACCCAUCUGGUUAAUACCCGGGUGGGAUGACGGUACCCAAAGAAUAAGCACCGGCUAACUUCGUGCCAGCCGCCGCGGUAA